GCCCUGGAUGGGGCUCUAAGAUCUCCCUGUAGCCUUCUCCAUCCUGAUCACCUCCAGCUCUCCCAGCCUGGCUCCAUAGGAGAGGUACUCCAACCCUCGGAGCAUCUUCGCAGCCUCACUCCAACAGCUCCACGUCUUUCUGUGCUGAAGACCCAGCUGGGGUCUCAGAGAGGGGGGCAGAGUGGGGCAAAACCCCCUUCCCACAUCCCGACCCUUCUCUCCCCGGCGCGGUCCCGGCGGGGCGGUGCUGGUGGCGGCCGCGGGGAGGCGCCGGUGCCGCUGUCGCUCCGCCCCGGCGGGACGGGACCGGCCCGAGGUCCCCGCGCAGCCCCGGCGGCUCCGGGCGCUGCCGCCGCCGGGGUCGCGCCGAGCCAGCCCCGCUCCGACGGUGAGUACCGGGCCCGGGGGGCGCGGGGGAGGGGCGAAGGCAGACCCUACCCCAGGGACCCCCCUUUCCUGGGGGGCAGAUCCCCACUGUUGCGUCCCCGCACACCCUCGCUGGGUCGGGCGGGAGCGUUUGUUUCUCGUCCCCUGGGAACCGGAGGCGGGAGGAGCGCGGCGGUCGGGGCUUGUCCGGUUGCCGUGGGAGACCCGCGCUGCCCGCGGAGCCGCAGCGGGCACGGCCGGCGGGAGGGCUCUGCCGGGAACCGCAGCGCCCGGGGGUCCCUGUCCCGUGGCCGGGCACACGGGGAGCCUUCCCCGCAUUGCCAGUCCCCGGGGGUCCGUGUUUCAUUGCACAUCCCUUGGGAUCCUUCUCUCCAUCGCAUGCCCCAUGGAAUCCGCUCUCUUCCAUACCCCUUGGGCUCCUUCUCCCUGUUGAACGCUCCUUGGAAUCCUUGUCCCCAUUCCAUACCCCUUAGGAUCCCUCUCCCCACUGCACGCUCCUUGGUAGCCUUCUCCCAGUCGCAUGCCACUUGGGCUUCUUCUCCCCCUUGCAUACUCCCUGGGAUCCUUCUCCCCGUUGCAUGCCCCUUGGGAUCCCACUGCUAUCCCACACCCGCCGUUUCACCUGUAUUCAGCUGCCUGCGACUGUGGUGGCAUCCCAGGCUGUGGCAGGGAGGUGCGGAGAUGAUCUGUGUCCCUGUGAGGCUGGAGCAGUUUCAUGCUGAGUUGUAA
rnacentral:lncRNA from 1 species